rnacentral:rRNA from 1 species
UACGUAGGUGGCGAGCGUUGUCCGGAUUUACUGGGCGUAAAGGGAGCGUAGGCGGACUUUUAAGUGAGAUGUGAAAUACCCGGGCUCAACUUGGGUGCUGCAUUUCAAACUGGAAGUCUAGAGUGCAGGAGAGGAGAAUGGAAUUCCUAGUGUAGCGGUGAAAUGCGUAGAGAUUAGGAAGAACACCAGUAGCGAAGGCGAUUCUCUGGACUGUAACUGACGCUGAGGCUCGAAAGCGUGGGGAGCAAACAGGAUUAGAUACCCCGGUAGU